CCCCUGUCAUGCCUCAGUACGGCGAGUGAGCGGCAAAAGCUCAAAUUUGAAAUCCCCCGGGAAUUGUAAUUUGAAGAGAUUUGGGUCCGGCCGGCAGGGGUUAAGUCCACUGGAAAGUGGCGCCACAGAGGGUGACAGCCCCGUGAACCCCUUCAAAGCCCUCAUCCCAGAUCUCCAAGAGUCGAGUUGUUUGGGAAUGCAGCUCUAAGUGGGUGGUAAAUUCCAUCUAAAGCUAAAUACCGGCGAGAGACCGAUAGCGAACAAGUACAGUGAUGGAAAGAUGAAAAGCACUUUGAAAAGAGAGUGAAAAAGUACGUGAAAUUGUUGAAAGGGAAGGGCUUGCAAGCAGACACUUAACUGGGCCAGCAUCGGGGCGGCGGGGAGCAAAACCACCGGGGAAUGUACCUUUCGAGGAUUAUAACCCCGGCCCUUACUCCCAUACCACCCCGAGGCCUGCAAUCUAAGGAUGCUGGCGUAAUGGUUGCAAGUCGCCCGUCUUGGAAACACGGACCAAA
rnacentral:rRNA from 1 species